UACGUAGGGGGCGAGCGUUGUCCGGAUUUACUGGGUGUAAAGGGCGCGUAGGCGGAUCUGUAAGUCAGAGGUGAAAUCCUGCGGCUUAACCGUAGAACUGCCUUUGAUACUGCAGAUCUUGAGUUCGAAAGAGAGUAGCGGAAUUCCAGGUGUAGUGGUGAAAUACGUAGAUAUCUGGAAGAACACCAGUGGCGAAGGCGGCCCCCUGGGCCUGUACUGACGCUCAUGCACGAAAGCGUGGGGAGCAAACAGG
rnacentral:rRNA from 1 species